rnacentral:rRNA from 1 species
ACGCUGGCGGCGUGCCUAAUACAUGCAAGUCGAGCGAACGGACGAGAAGCUUGCUUCUCUGAUGUUAGCGGCGGACGGGUGAGUAACACGUGGAUAACCUACCUAUAAGACUGGGAUAACUUCGGGAAACCGGAGCUGAUACCAGAUAAUAUUUUGAACCGCAUGGUUCAAAAGUGAAAGACGGUCUUGCUGUCACUUAUAGAUGGAUCCGCGCUGCAUUAGCUAGUUGGUAAGGUAACGGCUUACCAAGGCAACGAUGCAUAGCCGACCUGAGAGGGUGAUCGGCCACACUGGAACUGAGACACGGUCCAGACUCCUACGGGAGGCAGCAGUAGGGAAUCUUCCGCAAUGGGCGAAAGCCUGACGGAGCAACGCCGCGUGAGUGAUGAAAGUCUUCGGAUCGUAAAACUCUGUUAUUAGGGAAGAACAUAUGUGUAAGUAACUGUGCACAUCUUGACGGUACCUAAUCAGAAAGCCACGGCUAACUACGUGCCAGCAGCCGCGGUAAUACGUAGGUGGCAAGCGUUAUCCGGAAUUAUUGGGCGUAAAGCGCGCGUAGGCGGUUUUUUAAGUCUGAUGUGAAAGCCCACGGCUCAACCGUGGAGGGUCAUUGGAAACUGGAAAACUUGAGUGCAGAAGAGGAAAGUGGAAUUCCAUGUGUAGCGGUGAAAUGCGCAGAGAUAUGGAGGAACACCAGUGGCGAAGGCGACUUUCUGGUCUGUAA